UUUCUGCUCCGCCUGCGCGGCCGUUACUCCUCCGCCGUGCGACCCCUGCUAUUCCCCCCCCGCCCCCAAAUUCCCCUCCGUCUGCGCCGCCCUUCUUCCUACGCGUGCGACGCCGGCUCCCUCACCAGGUUCUCAGGGGUACUCGCUGGUUUAGAUUUAUCUGCUAGUGCGGACACCGCAGAUGAUCUGAGAGAAUACGGUGGCGGCUGCUCCCUUCUCCUCGCGGGUUCGCUUCUCCCAUCUGAGGAACGCGUCAGCCUCCAUGGGACAAAUCGACAAGAAGGACGUGGGGGUCGAGACGUGGAGUGCGUGCAAGAUCAGUCACCAGGGCCUGUUUAUCUCAGCAGCGAUGGCGCGCCAACGGCAGGCGGUGGGGAUGAUUUUUUCACAGCAGUUAAGGUCGCCGGGGUGGCCGCAGUGCCACCACUUGAACUGUCCGUCCUGUAAACAAAAGCAGCAUUGCAACAACGAUGACGAACCUCAAGAUCUCCAUAUUCCCUGGAUCAAAUAUUGUCUAGAGGUGUUCCCUGGAUCGACAGCUUCAGCUGAAGUAAAACUUCUGCCUCUCCAUGUUGUAUAGCGUUAGGUUCAAUUCUUCUCUGAACUGUUUUUGUUUUUGCUCAGUGUUUUUCUGCCUGUAAGUUCAGAGUUCCAUACUCUGCCCAUUUCUUCUACUAUCAAUGAAAGCAGUGCCUACUGCCUUUCAUCAAAA